AGUGAUUGGAUUAAUCAGAAAUCAACAAAAAUGAUCAUCUCGUCGGGCUCACAACCCGAAGGUCGCAAGUUCAAUUCUUGCCCCCGCAACCA
rnacentral:tRNA from 1 species